rnacentral:tRNA from 1 species
UGGCUCAGAGGUUAAGAGCACUGGACUGACUUCCAGAGGUCCUGAGUUCAAUUCCCAG